rnacentral:rRNA from 1 species
GGAGUUAGCCGGUGCUUCUUCUGUGAGUGAUGUCCUUCCUGCCGGCUAUUAACCCGCAGGCCUUCUUCCUCACUGAAAGUGCUUUACAACCCGAAGGCCUUCUUCACACACGCGGCAUGGCUGGAUCAGGGUUGCCCCCAUUGUCCAAUAUUCCCCACUGCUGCCUCCCGUAGGAGUCUGGGCCGUGUCUCAGUCCCAGUGUGGCUGAUCAUCCUCUCAGACCAGCUACGGAUCGUCGCCUUGGUGAGCCGUUACCUCACCAACCAGCUAAUCCGACAUAGGCUCAUCCGAUAGCGCGAGGCCCGAAGGUCCCCCGCUUUCCCCCGUAGGGCGUAUGCGGUAUUAGCCUGGGUUUCCCCAGGUUAUCCCCCACUACCGGGCAGAUUCCUAUUCAUUACUCACCCGUCCGCCGCUCGCCACCAGGGAGCAAGCUCCCCGUGCUGCCGCUCGACUUGCAUGUGUUAGGCCUGCCGCCAGCGUUCAAUCUGAGCCAGAAUCAAACUCUGA